CCACCACCACCUUCAUCAGAAUAGCAGAGAGAGUUUCUAGGAGACGGAGACAUGUGGACCAGACUACAGAGCGGCUGUUUCCUGAGUGCUAUAUGUCUGCUGCUGGUGACCUUUGACUCUGGCUCUGC